GAACCACUGGUGUAGUGGUUUGGGUGUUGGUCUAUGACUCUGGAGACCAGGGUUCAAUUCCCUGCUUGGCCA
rnacentral:tRNA from 1 species